AUGGUGAAGGUUGGAGUGAACGGAGUUGGCCGUAUUGUAUGCCUCGUCACCAGGGCUGCUUUUUCCUCUGGCAAGGUGGAUAUUGUGGCCAUCAGUGACCCUUUUAUUGACCUCAAUUACAUGGUCUACAUGUUCCAGUAGGACUGUACCCACGGCGAGUUCCAUGGCACUGUCAAGGCUGAGAACAGGAAGCUCAUCAUCAAUGGAAAGGUCAUCACCCUCUUCCAAGAGUGAGAUCCUGCCAACAUCAAGUGGGGUGAUGCUGGCACUGAGCACGUGGUGGAGUCCACUGGUGUCUUCACCACCAUGGAGAAGGCCAGGGCACACCUGAAGGGUGGUGCCAAAAGGGUCAUCAUCUCUGCCCCUUCCGCCAAUGUCCCCAUGUUUGUGAUGGGUGUGAAUCGCGAGAAAUAUGACAACUCCCUCAAGAUUGUCAGCAACGCUUCCUUACCAACUGCUUAGCCACACUGGCCAAGGUCAUCUAUGACAACUUCGGCAUUGUGGAGGGACUCAUGACCAUGGUGCAUGCCAUCACUGCCACCCAGAAGACUGUGGACGGCCCCUUUGAGAAACUGUGGCGUGAUGGCCGUGGGGCUGUCCAGAACAUCAUCCCUGCAUCCACUGGCACUGCCAAGGCUGUGGGCAAGGUCAUCCCAGAGCUGAACAGGAAGCCCACAGGCAUGGCCUUCCAUGUGCCCACUCCCAACAUGUCAGUGGUGGAUCUGACCUGCUGCCUAGAGAAAGCAGCUAAAUACAAUGAAACUAAGAAGGUAGUGAAGCAGGCAUCAGAUGGUCCCCUCAAAGGCAUCCUGGGCUACACCAAGGACCAGGUUGUGUCUUGCACCUUCAACAGUGACACCCACUCUUCCACCUUUGAUGCUGGGGCUGGAAUUGCCCUGAUUGACCACUUUGUAAAGCUCAUUUCCUGGUAUGACAAUGAGUUUGUCUACAGCAACAGGGUGGUAGACCUCAUGAUCCACAUGGCCUCCAAGGAGUAA